rnacentral:rRNA from 1 species
GAUGAACGCUAGCGGGAGGCCUAACACAUGCAAGCCGAGCGGUAUUUGUUCUUCGGAACAGAGAGAGCGGCGCACGGGUGCGGAACACGUGUGCAACCUGCCUUUAUCUGGGGGAUAGCCUUUCGAAAGGAAGAUUAAUACCCCAUAAUAUAUUGAGUGGCAUCAUUUGAUAUUGAAAACUCCGGUGGAUAGAGAUGGGCACGCGCAAGAUUAGAUAGUUGGUGAGGUAACGGCCCACCAAGUCAAUGAUCUUUAGGGGGCCUGAGAGGGUGAUCCCCCACACUGGUACUGAGACACGGACCAGACUCCUACGGGAGGCAGCAGUGAGGAAUAUUGGACAAUGGGUUAGCGCCUGAUCCAGCCAUCCCGCGUGAAGGACGACGGCCCUAUGGGUUGUAAACUUCUUUUGUAUAGGGAUAAACCUACUCUCGUGAGAGUAGCUGAAGGUACUAUACGAAUAAGCACCGGCUAACUCCGUG